rnacentral:rRNA from 1 species
CCUACGGAGGCAGCAGUGGGGAAUAUUGGGCAAUGGGCGCAAGCCUGACCCAGCAACGCCGCGUGAGGGAAGAAGGUCUUCGGAUUGUAAACCUCUGUCCUUGGGGACGAAAAAAAUGACGGUACCCAAGGAGGAAGCUCCGGCUAACUACGUGCCAGCAGCCGCGGUAAUACGUAGGGAGCGAGCGUUGUCCGGAAUUACUGGGCGUAAAGGGUGCGUAGGCGGCGCUGCAAGUCAGAUGUGAAAUCCCCGGGCUUAACCCGGGGGGUGCAUUUGAGACUGCAGUGCUUGAGUGUAGGAGAGGAAAGCGGAAUUCCUAGUGUAGCGGUGAAAUGCGUAGAUAUUAGGAAGAACACCAGUGGCGAAGGCGGCUUUCUGGACUGUAACUGACGCUGAGGCACGAAAGCGUGGGGAGCAAACA